rnacentral:rRNA from 1 species
GACGUAGGGCGCGAGCGUUGUCCGGAUUUAUUGGGCGUAAAGAGCUCGUAGGCGGUCUGUCGCGUCGAUCGUGAAAACUUGGGGCUUAACCCUGAGCUUGCGGUCGAUACGGGCAUGACUGGAGUUCGGCAGGGGAGACUGGAAUUCCUGGUGUAGCGGUGAAAUGCGCAGAUAUCGGGAGGAACACCAGCGGCGAAGGCGGCACUCUGGGCUGGAACGUGACGCUGAGGAGCGAAAGCGUGGGUAGCAAACAGG